GCACUGCUCCGGAAGUCUGGUAACCAGGGAGACGGCUGGCGGCACUGCGGUCAGCGCGAGACGGUGGUGGUGAUGAUGAUGUCAGACAGGUGGGAUGUUCAGCUGUUGUGAAGCUUCUGCAAACUCACCGACUGCUUGCACUCACAGAGCGAUCCCAUGGAGGUCCGUAAGCCGGUCCUGGAGCUGAAGGACGUGCCUCCGCCGCCCCCACACACACACUCGUGUCUCAGCGUAAGCGUGUGUUCCUGCUGUGAAGCGAGCGUUCGUCUGAAGAAGAGCUCGAGUGGCGUCACCGGUGGAGGCUUUCCUUUGUAUCUCUCACACACACUCACACACUCUCCUCCAGCGUCACACUGCGCCGGUCUGAGGCCGACACACAACGGCUCCUCUCUGUGUAAACUCUGUCAGUGUCGUUUCCCACACGGUGACCCGUCCUCACCCCCUCACCCCUGCUCUAACUCACUCCGGCACGCGUCGCGGUGUGUGACGGGCGCUCACUGUGUGCAGGACUGCUGGAGAAAGAGUUUGCGUGUCGACUCGGAGAAGGUCUGGCCGAACAUUCCUCCGCCCGUCCCGGUGUGCAACGGCUGCGGCGUGACGGGAGUUUCCUCCGACGGUCUUCUGGGUGUCCACCUCGGCAAAACCCCACAGAAAUAUGGUCCUUCAGAGAGCGGCGCGCUGGAAACGCUGCCCCCCAUCGGGGUGUUCUGGGACAUCGAGAACUGCGCGGUUCCCAGCGGACGCUCGGCUGCGACGCUGGUGCACAGACUUCGAGAUCGCUUCUUUCAGGGACACCGCGAGGCCGAGUUCAUCUGCGUGUGUGACAUCAACAAAGAGAACAAAGCCGUCAUCCAGGAGCUCAACAACUGCCAGGUGACGGUGGCCCACAUUAACGCUACAGCCAAAAAUGCAGCCGACGAUAAACUGCGUCAAAGUCUCAGGAGAUUCGCGGACACACACGCUGCUCCCGCUACGGUCAUCGUGGUUUCAUCGGAUGUGAACUUCGCCAGUGAGCUGAGCGACCUGAGGCACCGACACGGUUUCCAGGUGAUCCUGGUGCACAAGAGCCAGGCCUCGCCCGCGCUCCUGCAACACGCACACCUGCGCGUCGCCUUCGAGGAGUUCGUCUCGGACCUCCCGCCCGGCAUGAUCGUCAAAGCACAGCCCAGUUUCAACCUUCUGUUUGUGCACCACCUUCCCACACACCGCGACACCAAAGCUGUGGCCAACCGGCUCCAGCGCCUCUCCAAUAACUGUGGAGGGAAGGUGUUGGGAGUGUCCGGCGGCUGCGCUGUGCUCCGGUUCGCUAGUGCCAGCGCGGCCGAACGCGCGCGCAAGCGCAUGGAGAACGAAGACGUCCUGGGCCAGCGCAUCGUGGUGUCGUUCUCUCCCGACGGCCCGGAGGAGGAAGAGGAGCGCCGACUCUUCCUCCCCGUGGAGAAGCAACGCUCGCCCCGUCGCCGGGCGUCACGGUCGAGAAGCCACGCCCCCGAGCGCCCCUAUAGCCCCAGGAAAGCAGGCCACGCCUCCUCGUGCAGCCCUGUGACGAAGCCCCGCCCCCAGAUUGUGUGCGGAGCAGCCCGACCUGUGAGCGCCUCGCCUCAGAGUCACACACUCCUGCCGGCAGCCGGAAAACCUGCAGAGCAGCAGCGCAGCCGGAGGCGAGAUUCUCCCGGGCAGCCGUUUCAGGUCAGCACUCCCUCAGCAUUCAGCAAACUGAGUUUACAGCGGAGCUUCAGUCCCAUGAUGCUCUCUCAGAGUUCGUGGUCGUCACGGAGUGUGUCCCCCUGCCUGUCCAACCGCUCGUCUCCGCUGAGCGCACCGUCCCCCGACGGCCAAUCAGAGCCCUUCUCUGACGGAGCGGACGUUCAGGUCACGAACCUCGACUACAGAAUGUCACGCAAGGACCUCCAGCAAAUCCUGCGAGACGCUUUUGCUAAACACGGCAGAGUGAAGAGCGUUGAUCUGAGUCCUCACACGGACUAUCAGCUGAAGGCGCGGGUCCACAUGAGCUCCCUCCAGCAGGCCAUCGGCGCCGUCUCUCUUCUGCACCGCUAUAAGAUCGGCAGCAAGAGGAUUCAUGUGUCGCUCGUCACUGGAGCCAGUAACAAAUCUCUCGCCUCCCUCAGCUCUGAGAUCAUCAGUAUCCUCCAGGACGCUCCAGCAAACUGCCUGCAUCUCUACAAGUUCACCGAGACCUACGAGAGGAAGUUUGGUCAUAAGCUGGUGGUGAGUGACUUGUACCGCUUGCCGGAGCUGGUGUGUGUGCGCGAGCAGGGCGGCGGGCGGCUGGUGUGUUUGCUGUCCAGCACUCAGGCCCGGCAGAGUCCGCUCGGAUCCGCACACUCUCACGACAGCUCCAACACGGCCAGCCCGGUCCUGUUCGAGGAGCUGGAGUACCACGAGCCCGUCUGCAGACGCCACUGCGCUCAGCAGGACUUCAGUGAAUCUGACUUCGAUCCGGAUUCGUACAUGAUCCCGUUUGUUCUGGUGUCCCUGAAGGUCCUGGCGGCUCACGUCCACGGGUUACUGCAGAGUCACGAGGGCACUGUGCCUCUUCUCAGUUUCCCAGAAUGCUACGCUGCAGAGUUCGGUGCGUUGGGCGUUGCGGAGGAGGGCGGGCUGGAGGGAAGCGUCCCGCUGGAGCAUCUCAUCACCUGCAUCCCAGGAGUCACCAUAGUAACGGCACAGAACGGCUUCAAAGUCAUCAAGUGGAUUCACAACAAACCCCCACCGCACAAUGCAGAUCCGUGGCUGCAGCGCAGUAAGAGUCCGGUUGGGAAUCCACAGCUGAUCCAGUUCAGCCGAGAGAUGGUGGAUCUCAUGAAGAACCAGCCGUCCUGUUUGAUGCCCGUCACCAAGUUCAUUCCAGCGUAUCACCAUCAUUUCGCCAAGCAGUGCCGCGUGUCGGACUACGGGUACUCCAAACUGCUGGAGCUGCUGGAGGCCGUUCCUCACGUGCUGCAGAUUCUGGGUUUAGGCUCCAAGCGUUUGUUGACGUUGACUCAUCGCGCGCAGAUCAAGCGCUUCACUCAAGACCUGCUGAAGCUGCUGAAGUUUCAGGCCAGUAAACAGGUGGUGAUCGGGGACUUCGCUCAGGCCUAUCACUGGUGUUUCUCCAGGAACUGGCAGGUGAUGGAUUAUGGGAUGUGUGAUCUGAUGGACCUGUUAGCUGAGAUUCCAGACACGACCAUCACUGUCACUCAGCAGGACUGCGACACGCUCAUCUCUGUUCCCAAAAGAGAACGCACGCCCGAGGAGGUGGAACGCACACGGCAGUUUGGGAAGGAGGUUGUGGACCUUCUGAGACACCAGCCUCACUUCCGGAUGCCCUUCAGCAAGUUCAUCCCCACGUAUCACCACCACUUCGGACGCCAGUGCAAACUCUCCUACUACGGCUUCACCAAACUCAUGGAGCUGUUCGAGGCCAUUCCUGACAUUCUUCUGGUCGGUACAAACGCAGACGUGAAGGUGUUGGAGUGCGGAGAGGAGCGUCUGCUAGCGCUGACGGAGGUGGAGUGUGUGAAAGCACUAGCGGCUCAGCUGGUGAAGCUGCUUCGAGCUCAGAGAGACUCAGGACUUCCUGUCAAUCAGCUGCUGUGCGAAUACAACAAGACGUUCGGCUACAGCCUCCGCCUGCAGGAUUACGACUCCGACACGCUACCCGUCCUGCUCAGCAAGCUCUGCCAUGUAGUGAAGGUGGUCGAUGCUCCCGAAGGGAAGGAGGUACAGCUCAUUAACAGGAAGUCCCUGCGUGCCUUGACGUCUCAGCUGCUGGCGCUGAUGAUGUCACUUCCUGAGGAUCGUGAUCAUCUCGGAGUGGAGGAGCUGAGGCAGCAGUACGAGUUCGCUUACUCCACGCCGCUCAACCCCUGCGAGUACGGCUUCAUCUCGCUCACCGAGCUCCUCAAGAGUCUGCCGUACCUGCUGCAGCUCUCUGAGGAUGAUGAGGAUGACAGAGACGCCGAGGAGCGUGUGAGUUUGACCAGACUCUACCAGUUCGCCCGCAGUGUCCGUGCGCUUCUGCACACCUAUCAUUAUAACCAGAUCUUCCUGUCGGAGUUCUGCGGCGCCUUCAGCAAAUACACCGGCCGAGAGUUUCAGCCGCUGGCGUACGGAUACAAGACUCUGGACGAGCUGCUGGCUGCCAUACCUCAGGUCGUCUGGAUCAAAGGUCACGGUCACAAAAAGAUCAUAGUCCUGAAGAACGAUAUGAGAGCUCGAGGCAGUCCAGCGGCCACUUUAGACGGUCCUCGUCCCGAUGAAGAGAGCCGGUCCACCGACAGCCCCGCCAGCGGUGAGCUGGAGCUGCUGUGUCUGGGUUCGGGAUCUCCCGUGGAUCUCCUGUGUGGCCCGGUCCCGUCGUGCCUGCCGUCUCCUCAGCUGCGACCCGACCCGGUUCAUCCCGGAGAUCUGAUGCGCUUCGAUCCGGUUCACGAUCGGCAGCCUCGACCGGCCAACGGCCUCCUCGCCGCGCCAGAGAACGAGUCGAGCCGAGCGAACGCUUGCAUUACGGACAGCCCCGGUCGACGGACGACACGAAACAAGGUCAAACUAGCGGCUAACUUCUCCUUCACGUCAGGCUAACGGCAAACGACAUCACGGUGUCAUCGUUAGCAUCUCCGUGUCCUUCCCUGUACAGAAGCAUCACGUGAGAGGAAACAGUCGUUCUGUGUGGGGAAUUUCUGUUUUCCAAACUGUUAUGAACUCAAAACCAGCUUUCGUUACUACAAACGUCUCGUGUGAGCCUGAAACGCGCCGAUCGGAACUGUGAAAUCAUGACGCUUUCAUCCAAACCUUCAUUACGGUGAAUCUGUGCCUUUAGUUUGAGACGUUAUUUGUGUUGUUUGAAGCACGUGGGCUUCGUUGAAUGAAAUCGAAGGUUAGCCGUGUUCCUCUCUUUUAAACGCAUCGCCCUCGUCACAUGACUCACGGAAGCCGAAUCGCUUAAGUUCAUGUUGUUGAAUUGAAAUUCUUAAAGGAAUGUUUAGUUUAAUCCGCCUCGUUUCAGAUUCACGGGCGUCCGGACGAGCUCCAGCGGGCACCCUCGUCAUCGUAUAUAUCUGCAGUUUGUCGUUUAUUUUGGUCCAGAAGUUGCUUUGUAAGUUAUAUGCACAUCGUGCAUAAACCCUUGUUUAGUCAGUUAGCUGCAGUUUCCUGUUUUAUGUGUUUUGGCAUAAUGGUGCUAAUCAGACGAUGUUCCUCUGGAAAUGCCAAGGUUGUUUUGGUGAACCUUGAGUUUGCGUCUUCGCUCUCGGUGAUUCGAGCCCGGCUCUUACAAUGGUUUGUAUCGGACGCCCUCGGUCACGGCGCGUUUGAUCUGUGUCGCAUAAAACCAACGAACCGAACGCUCAAGUGUUCUCGUGACCGCCGAACGCAUCGCUGUGUUGAUGUUCGACGGCACGUCUUCUUUUAAGGGUGUCUCUCUCGGGUCCUGGAGUGUUUCUGGAAGCUGAAACUCUGCGGUGGAGACGUACAGAAGAGAAUAUGCAUGUUUGCAUAACGUUCGCCUCUCGUGUCGUUGUUGGAUAGAUGGAGAUUUGGUUUGUGUGUGUGUGUGUGUGUGCGCCUCUCCGUUCGUCAAGUGCAGUUUUAGUAUUUGUGUUUAUCCUCUCGGGUUUGCGACGUCAGCUGAUCAUCGUCCGGUUCGUGUGAAAUGGAAGUUCAGGCUCGGAGGUCUUGUAUGAUUUUAGUCUCCACCAGAAACUUGUUUAUUUUUUAUUUUUAUGUAAUGACCAAAUAUUUUCUGCCAUGUAUAAUAAAUAUCACAAGCAUCAUUUGUUGUCGAGGUUUCCUGCCUUCCUGACGCGUUUUUUACAUUCAGUCGUCCGCCCGACCGUAUGACACGCUUUUGUAUGAACUUUUGCUUCAAACAAGUGUUUUAGUAUCAUCGAUGUUUUAACAUUUUGAAUUAGCAUCUUUUUUUAUAUUCCGUUUCCAUGUUUUGAAUUUUUUUUUUUGAAAGUGUACAACAGACAAUCGAAAGAACACUUAUGAUCAGGUUAUUUGUUGCAAGUUAGUUUAUUUAUUUCGUUGUGUCAUUUUUAAUGUCUAUACAUUUUAUAUCAUGCCCACAAAUUUGUUCCCCUCGUUUUAGUAAAUAAUUUGUUCUCUUGUUUUGAUUUAACUGAAAUGAGGGAAUGAAUUAAUGAGUAAAAUCGAGCACACAAUAUAAAGUCCCCCUGUGGUGUAAAUCCA